UACGUAGGUGGCGAGCGUUGUCCGGAAUUACUGGGCGUAAAGAGCUCGUAGGUGGCUUGUCACGUCGUCUGUGAAAUUCCGGGGCUUAACCUCGGGCGUGCAGGCGAUACGGGCAAUACUUGAGUGCUGUAGGGGAGACUGGAAUUCCUGGUGUAGCGGUGAAAUGCGCAGAUAUCAGGAGGAACACCAAUGGCGAAGGCAGGUCUCUGGGCAGUUACUGACGCUGAGGAGCUAAAGCAUGGGUAGCGAACAGGAUUAGA
rnacentral:rRNA from 1 species